rnacentral:rRNA from 1 species
AGAUUGAACGCUGGCGGCAUGCCUUACACAUGCAAGUCGAACGGCAGCACGGGGGCAACCCUGGUGGCGAGUGGCGAACGGGUGAGUAAUAUAUCGGAACGUGCCCUGGAGUGGGGGAUAACGUAGCGAAAGUUACGCUAAUACCGCAUACGAUCUACGGAUGAAAGUGGGGAUCGCAAGACCUCAUGCUCGUGGAGCGGCCGAUAUCUAGAUUAGCUAGGUUAGGUAGGGUAAAACGCCGUAACCAAGGACAGUCGA